GAUGAACGCUGGCGGCGUGCUUAACACAUUCAAGUCGAACGGGACUCAUUUGAUUAAUCCUUCGGGAAGCGUUGAAUGAGUUUAGUGGCGGACGGGUGAGUAACGCGUGAGCAAUUUACCUUUGUGAGUGGAAUAACACCCGGAAACAGGUGCUAAUACCGCAUAACGUAUCGAUGUCGCAUGGCAAUGAUACCAAAGAGAAAUCGCACAAAGAUGAGCUCGCGUCCGAUUAGAUAGUUGGUGAGGUAACGGCCCACCAAGUCGACGAUCGGUAGCCGGACUGAGAGGGUGACCGGCCACAUUGGGACUGAGACACGGCCCAAACUCCUACGGGAGGCAGCAGUGGGGAAUAUUGCACAAUGGGGGAAACCCUGAUGCAGCGACGCCGCGUGAGCGAAGAAGUAUUUCGGUAUGUAAAGCUCUAUCAGCAGGGAAGAAAAUGACGGUACCUGACUAAGAAGCCCCGGNUAACUACGUGCCAGCAGCCGUGGU
rnacentral:rRNA from 1 species